GCCCGAGUAGCUCAGUGGUAGAGCAUUAGGCUUUUUAACCUAAGGGCCAGGGUUCAAGUCCCUGUUCGGGUG
rnacentral:tRNA from 1 species